UUUGAUGGUUAAGUUUUUGUAUUCUCUUUGGUUUUGUGUUCGAAUCUCGGCGUGUGCAUUCGUAAAUAUUUUUGCUUAUUGUUGAAAUAUUGACUGGUGGUUUUAACCAUUAAAAAAAAGUAACAUUCUUUCUUUUUCUUUCUUCUUUUUUCUUCUUUUUUCUUCUUCUUUCUUUCUUUUUUUGUUGUUUGAUUUUUCGUUCCUCUUUUCCUUUUCUUAAAAUUUUCCUGGUUCGUUCCUUCUCGUUGGUUGUUGUUAAAUCCUUGCAGUAUAUUCAGGUUAGUAUGUACUUUGUAUUGUUGAUUGAAAGUUAAUUGUGUAAAUCUCGUUGUGAAUUUCUUAAAAAUGCCAGGUUGUUCUGUUGAAAUGACUUUGUUUUUGUUGAGUCGAAUUCUUGUGAUUAAACAACUUUUGGCUUCUUUAUUUUAGGCAUAGG
rnacentral:lncRNA from 1 species